UACGGAGGGUGCAAGCGUUAUCCGGAUUCACUGGGUUUAAAGGGUGUGUAGGCGGGUAUUUAAGUCAGUGGUGAAAUCUCCGGGCUCAACCCGGAAACUGCCAUUGAUACUAUUUAUCUUGAAUUCUGUUGAGGUAGGCGGAAUAUAUCAUGUAGCGGUGAAAUGCUUAGAUAUGAUAUAGAACACCGAUUGCGAAGGCAGCUUACUAAACAGAUAUUGACGCUGAGGUACGAAAGCGUGGGGAGCAAACAGG
rnacentral:rRNA from 1 species